GAUGAACGCUGGCGGCGUGCCUAACACAUGCAAGUCGAACGGACUGUUAAGAAAGCUUGCUUUUUUGACAGUUAGUGGCGGACUGGUGAGUAACGCGUGAGCAACCUGCCUUUAAGAGGGGAAUAACACAUGGAAACGUGUGCUAAUACCGCAUAAUAUAUGACUGUGGCAUCACAGACAUAUCAAAGGAGAAAUCCGCUUAAAAGAUGGGCUCGCGUCUGAUUAGUUAGUUGGUGAGGUAACGGCUCACCAAGACUACGAUCAGUAGCCGAACUGAGAGGUUGAACGGCCACAUUGGGACUGAGAUACGGCCCAAACUCCUACGGGAGGCAGCAGUGGGGAAUAUUGGGCAAUGGACGAAAGUCUGACCCAGCAACGCCGCGUGAGGGAAGAAGGUCUUCGGAUUGAAACCUUUUGCUUUGGAGACGAAAAAAAUGAACGGUAUCCAAAAAAGGAAGACUCCGGCUAACUACGUGCCAGCAGCCGACGGUAAAAGUACUACUAU
rnacentral:rRNA from 1 species